rnacentral:rRNA from 1 species
GACGAACCGUGCAAACGUUGUUCGGAAUCACUGGGCUUAAAGGGCGCGUAGGCGGGCAUUCAAGUCAGGGGUGAAAUCUUUCGGCUCAACCGGAAAAUUGCCUUUGAUACUGACUGUCUCGAGGGAGGUAGGGGCAUGUGGAACUUCCGGUGGAGCGGUGAAAUGCGUUGAUAUCGGAAGGAACGCCGGUGGCGAAAGCGACGUGCUGGACCUCUUCUGACGCUGAGGCGCGAAAGCUAGGGGAGCAAACGGG